GACGAACGCUGGCGGCGUGCUUAACACAUGCAAGUCGAGCGGUAAGGCCCUUUCGGGGGUACACGAGCGGCGAACGGGUGAGUAACACGUGGGUGACCUGCCUUUAGCUCUGGGAUAAGCCUGGGAAACCGGGUCUAAUACCGGAUAUGACUCCGCGGCGCAUGUUGUGGGGUGGAAAGCCUUGUGCGGCUGGAGAUGGGCCCGCGGCCUAUCAGCUUGUUGGUGGGGUGAUGGCCUACCAAGGCGACGACGGGUAGCCGGCCUGAGAGGGCGACCGGCCACACUGGGACUGAGACACGGCCCAGACUCCUACGGGAGGCAGCAGUGGGGAAUCUUGCGCAAUGGGGCGAAAGCCUGACGCAGCGACGCCGCGUGAGGGAUGACGGCC
rnacentral:rRNA from 1 species